rnacentral:tRNA from 1 species
GGAGGUAUAGCUCAGUGGUAGAGCGCAUGCUUAGCAUGCCGGAGGUCCGGGGUUCAAGCCCCAGUCCCUCCA